rnacentral:lncRNA from 1 species
CCCCAAUUUAUUUCCAUUCAUAUGUGAUAAUGAAGCCUAGAAUUGGCUCCUCCAAAGCAAGUUCAAGCUUGUUACCUGCAUUUAGUAAAAUAUUGAUUAUCUCUUCUCCCAAAUGGCAGCACUCCUAGUCCAGCAGUAUGGGAUGGAGGCAAGGGAAAAGAACUAUAUCUUUCCCCAUAUAUCCAUAUUCUGAGGGCAAAUUUAAGCGCUGUUUCUAAGCAAUCUAAGUUAUCAGAGAUAGGUUGAUAAGUAAAAGGAGCAAGAUAUGGUCAUAAGAUAAGGGGUUUUGGAGCCAGGCAGACAUAAUUUUCAUUCUUAUUCUCAUCCUCACUAGGUCAGGGACCUUAGGCCAUUAAAUGACUUACUUGUGUUUUAUCAUAAGCAAAAUUGAGACUAUAGCCCUGAUUUGCAGAAUUAAUUAGAGGAAAAGAAAUAAUGUGCAUAAGUGUAUAGCAAAGAGCCUAGCCCAUUUUGGGCAUUUUAAUGAACAGUAGCUAUUUUCUCCAUGAUGUUACUGAUUUAAUAAGCAAGAGAAGGGUUCUUUCAUGCCAGGUAUCAGGCCUCCUCUUAACAGCACAUUCUCAGUGCACCAUCUGGAUUUUAACAAGAUCCCCAGGAGAUUUAUAUGCACUUUGAAGUUUGAGACGUGCCGACAAUGCCUACAUGGUAGGUUGUUGUGAGCAGUAAGUGAACUGAUAGAUGUAAACACUUAGAAACUGACAUAAAUACUAAGUGCUGAGUAGAUGUUAGCUGUUAUUUGUUUUAUUUUACAUCAAAUUAUACCUCAAGUGACAAGGUUUGUCUCAAGCUUCCUGUGAUCUUUCCAUUAUCCUCUUAUUAAUUAUUCCAUUUUUUUGUUGUUUGUGCACCACAAACAUCUUCGUAGGUAAUUUUGAUAAUUCAUUUUCUUAGACUCUUCCCUGUCAGACUCAAAGAUCUUCAAGGACACGUGAGUGUCUUUUAUAUCCUUGUUCUCUGGCCCAGGACAGUGCCAGAAGAGACCUCCAAUAAAUAUGAGCUGAAUAAAUGAUAUAAACAUAUACAUCUAACAAGAACAACAACAGCAAACAGGAACAGUUCCAAGUGGAUGACAUGAGGAAUACUUACCAGAAAGACUCAAAGAAUGCUAAGGUGUUUCGAGAAAUAUCCUUAGUAAGAAUGAAAUUUAAGCUAUUUUUGAACAAUGUAGAUAUUUGGGAGUUUAAGAGAAAGACAUGGUGUAAAUUUGGGUGCAGGUAAUGAUGUGAGUGAAACUUAAAAAAUGGGUUGCAAGUAACAGGUUCACAGGAGCAAGAAUCGAUAGGUGUUUCUGGAACAGAGAGUUCUUUGCAGAACUGUAGUAGAAAACAUAAGUUGUGAACUCACAUGCUGAAGAUCCUCAGCAAAAAGUUUGAAAAGAGAACACUUGAAAGUUGUUGAGCUGGAAGCAAACAUGCUUGACAUGUUUCUCCUUUUAAAAGGAGAAAUAAAAAGCAUAUUAACUGCCUCUGCUUCUUUUUUUGCCAGUCCUUGAAGAGACACAAACAGCUAACAAGUCCACGUGGUCACUUAUGAGUUUCAAAGUUUUUUAAUUUUUAUAAUUAUUCUCACAGGUGUUGUCAUUGUUUUCUGGUUUGAAAAUACUCCAAAGGGUUAUAUUUCUUCUACAAGAUUACAGUGGAAUGUGACUGAGCAAUUCGAGGUCCACUUUAUGUCCUGAAUUUGAGGUACUGUGGAUGAGUAGUGAAAAGAUGUGUUGACUCGAUGUAGAUGGUGUGUGGUCAGCAGGUCUUGUUGAUUUGUUUGGUGACUCUCUUGCAGACAUUUCAAUUUGGUGCUUUAGCAAAUUUUCCAGUGUCUCUACACCAUUGGUCAGAAGAGUAGUCCACAGAGUAUGCCAAUGAGUUUGUGAGUAUGCUAAGGGUUUUUUUUUUUUUUUUUUUUUUCCCUUGUCUUUUUAGGGCUGUACCAUGGCAUAUGGAGGUUCCCAGGCCAGGGGUCGAAUCAGAGCUGUAGCUGCUGCCUAUGCCACAGCCACAGCAAUGUCAGAUCCAAGCCGCAUCUGUGACCUCACCACAGCUCACCACAACACCAGCUACUUAACCCACUGAGCGAGACCAGGGAUCAAACCUGCAUCCUUAUGGAUGCUAGUCAGAUUCGUUUCUGCUGAGCCACAACAGGAACUCCCUGCUAAGGAUAUUUUACGUGGAUUCCUCAGAAUGAAGUGGGGGUUUGCAUUUCUAUUGGAGUUGAAUUUACUAAGAAAGAAUUUAUGAGAACAGCUGAUUUGUCCUUAAUAUUCUGUUUCCUUUGUACUGUAGAUAAAACAGGAAGAGUCAAAGAGGAUCAGAAAUAAAUCUUAUCUCUUUUGAUUUAUUUAACUGCUUAUGUCUUUAUCCUGUUGACUGAUUCUUUUCUGGAUUAUACUCCUUGUAAGCAGGAACAUGACCUUCUUUUUUUCUGACUUAUUGUUUAAAAAAGGUGCAGGCUAGAGGUGAAUACACAGGAGUUCAAUAAAAACUUACUAAAUAGUUGAAGUUCAAAAACAUUGUUAGUAAGCAUCCAUUUUCUAGGUAUACAGCUAAUGUUCCUGCUGUUUUAUGCAUGCAGAUGAAACAGCCGAGUGGUCUGUAUUACAUCUUGGGCUUCAGGUCCCUAAGGGCCAUAAAUUACCCCUCCCAGAGACUGCUCAAUAUACCUGUGCAGAGGCAGCCUAUAAUUACAAGGUUCUUGGGAGGGAACAGAGUGACCAGAUCACAGCGAUGUGUAAAAGAGCCUUGUUAGAGAGUGAGGGGAGGACAUUGGGGUAAAGAAUGAUAACACGUUAUCUUUUUCCUGAGGAGUGAUUUCUAGGAUGCUUCCACAUCUAAUAUUUUAUAAUUAAUGAAAUAUUUGCUCGUGGUCUGUUCUGAACACUGUUUUUUUAUAACAAUAGUUCAUUUAAUGACAAAUCAAAAUUUAAUUGCAAAAUUAAAGUUAUUUUAUCUACAACAGUUAAAGACCAAAGAGAUAAGCCUUUGUCAGAGACAGAUUAUAUCUGUACCUGACUUUUUGAUGGAAAUAAUUUAAUAAAAGAUGUACAGAACUUGUAUACCAUUGCUAUUCAAAGUAUGGUUCAUGGAGCAGAGCCAGUCCAUGAUUUCAUUUCUUACUUUUUAGCAAUGAGAUCAGUACAGAAAUUGAGAGUAAGUGCUUAGAAAUGUUGAUACUAACUUAACAUUAUGGUAAUAUCCAAGCCUGUGAUCCAUGGAUUUGAUUCAUUACAAAGUGUGUAACCCAGGUUGCUGAUGGUUGAACUUAAUUGAUAAGCUGCAUUUGUUGCAAACUAUGACCUAGUCAGGCAUGGUAGUCAUGCAUAUUUUGACCUGCAGUCCUUAGAAAACAAAACUUGUUCUGCAUCACAGAUACAUAAUCUACAGAACUUUAUUGAACAAAUGAAGAGGACCUAAAUAAGAGAAGGGAUAAACUAUGUUCAUGGAUUGAAAGAUUUAGUAUUUUGAAGAUAUAAAUUUUCGCUCAGAUUAGUGUAUAAAGUCAAUUAAAUUCUAAGUGAAAAAACUCUUGGCAGAUUUUUUUUUUGUGGAAGUAGGGAGGGAGAGAAAAGCUGAAUCUUAAUUUAUAUGGGAUAAAAAUAACUAAAGAAAUAAAAAAGAAAAAAAGAAAACUGGAAGACUUAAUCUACCAGUUACCCAUACUUAAUAUAAAAAUAUAGUACUUAAUAAAAUGUGAUACUU